rnacentral:rRNA from 1 species
GACGAACGCUGGCGGCGUGCUUAACACAUGCCAGUCGGACGGAAAGGCCCUGCUUUUGUGGGGUGCUCGAGUGGCGAACGGGUGAGUAACACGUGAGUAACCUGCCCUUGACUUUGGGAUAACUUCAGGAAACUGGGGCUAAUACCGGAUAGGAGCUCCUGCUGCAUGGUGGGGGUUGGAAAGUUUCGGCGGUUGGGGAUGGACUCGCGGCUUAUCAGCUUGUUGGUGGGGUAGUGGCUUACCAAGGCUUUGACGGGUAGCCGGCCUGAGAGGGUGACCGGCCACAUUGGGACUGAGAUACGGCCCAGACUCCUACGGGAGGCAGCGGUGGGGAAUAUUGCACAAUGGGCGGAAGCCUGAUGCAGCAACGCCGCGUGCGGGAUGACGGCCUUCGGGUUGUAAACCGCUUUCGCCUGUGACGAAGCGUGAGUGACGGUAAUGGGUAAAGAAGCACCGGCUAACUACGUG